rnacentral:rRNA from 1 species
AUUGAACGCUGGCGGAAUGCUUUACACAUGCAAGUCGAACGGCAGCACGGGGGCAACCCUGGUGGCGAGUGGCGAACGGGUGAGUAAUACAUCGGAACGUGCCCGGUCGUGGGGGAUAACGUAGCGAAAGUUACGCUAAUACCGCAUACGAUCUGAGGAUGAAAGCGGGGGACCUUCGGGCCUCGCGCGAUCGGAGCGGCCGAUGUCAGAUUAGGUAGUUGGUGGGGUAAAGGCCUACCAAGCCGACGAUCUGUAGCUGGUCUGAGAGGACGACCAGCCACACUGGGACUGAGACACGGCCCAGACUCCUACGGGAGGCAGCAGUGGGGAAUUUUGGACAAUGGGCGCAAGCCUGAUCCAGCCAUUCCGCGUGCAGGACGAAGGCCUUCGGGUUGUAAACUGCUUUUGUAUGGAGCGAAAAGGCUCUGGCUAAUACCUGGGGCUCAUGACGGUACCGUAAGAAUAAGCACCGGCUAACUACGUG